CCAAACACGGACGAAGGCCCAGGCCUACUCGCUCACACUGAUGAACGAUCCACGCAGCUCUCGGCCACUGCACGCACGGACGGGCACAACCCAUGCACGACCUAGAUCGCAACCUCCAACGCUCGUGCGGUCGCGCCGCGCCGCCGCCUCCCUGCUCGGCUGUUCCAGUUCCGCCGUCGUCUUCUACCAGCCGUCAUCCCGACCUCCCCAGUUCUGAGCACCCUGGUUGCUCGCCUAGUCCUGUCGGCCCGCGCGAGUGUGCGGCCCCAGCCCACGGCUGUUGGCUGCAGUCGUCGUCCAUCGUAUGUCACUGGCCGCGCUCCCUGAGCCUCCUCAAUCCCCAGCACGGCAGCACCCCUCGACCGAUUCUGAAGCUCUGACCAUGAAACAGCGUCAGUUUGCGUGUGUGAUUCAAGGAACGGGAGAAGAGAUGGGCGGCGACAUGAAGCAGCCUUUCUCCCCCUUUACCGGCCUGUAAAUUGG